GACGAACGCUGGGCGUGCUUAACACAUGCACGUCGAACGGAAAGGCCCUGCUUUUGUGGGGUGCUCGAGUGGCGAACGGGUGAGUAACACGUGAGUAACCUGCCCUUGACUUUGGGAUAACUUCAGGAAACUGGGGCUAAUACCGGAUAGGAGCUCCUGCUGCAUGGUGGGGGUUGGAAAGUUUCGGCGGUUGGGGAUGGACUCGCGGCUUAUCAGCUUGUUGGUGGGGUAGUGGCUUACCAAGGCUUUGACGGGUAGCCGGCCUGAGAGGGUGACCGGCCACAUUGGGACUGAGAUACGGCCCAGACUCCUACGGGAGGCAGCAGUGGGGAAUAUUGCACAAUGGGCGGAAGCCUGAUGCAGCAACGCCGCGUGCGGGAUGACGGCCUUCGGGUUGUAAACCGCUUUCGCCUGUGACGAAGCGUGAGUGACGGUAAUGGGUAAAGAAGCACCGGCUAACUACGUG
rnacentral:rRNA from 1 species